GUUUUUAGUAAAGCCAGGGUUUUGCCAUGUUGCCCAGGCUGGUCUCAAACUCCUUGACUCGAGAGACCCACCCUCAGCCUCUCAAAGUGCUGGGAUUACAGCCAUGAGCCCCUGCGCCCAGUUGACAAUUUCUGCAUUAAUCCACAGAACACAUUAAAGCACUUAGGAAGUGGCAGCAGGGAAGGUGAGAAGAGGAUUGUCAAAGACAUUGUGAUGACAGAAUGGACAGGACUUGGUGAACUGAGUUGAUGCAAGCAGAAUCAUGAUAUUGUGUGAUUAAAGUCAUCUUGUGUCAUGUAAGAAAAAGAAAUGGAAACUAAGCAAUAUUAAUUAACAUAGUCCAAGGUCACAAAGCAAAAUGGAACAAGAACCUGGAUCUGAAUUCAGAGGCAAGAUGCUGGAGAUAGGGUCUUGUUCUGUCGCCCAGGCUUGGGUGCAAUGGCAUGAUCAUAGCUCACGGCAGCCUCGAACUCCUGGGGUCCAGUGAUUCUCCUGCCUCAGCGUCCCUUGUAAUUGGACUACAGGUACAAAUCACCAUGUCUGGCUCUUGUUCUUUAACACAUGCUCGUAGCUCAAAACUAGUAGAAUUCCCUCUGAUACAUUUGUGAACCUCUGCUUCCACUACAAGUUUCAUGCUACUGGAGUCAGUUGCCUUUUUCUCAAACCUGCUUAUACCAAUUAAACUUGUUACUGAAAUUAAUUAGUUAAAUAUGUAAACCAGUGAAAUAUGAAACAAAAGUCAGUCACUAAAGAAAUUACUGUACAAUUAAGUGUAAGCAAAACAACUCCAAAAGCCUCGAAAAAGUGAGUAGAAAUCUACAGAUAUUUUGCUGACAAAUGAAAUACAUUUGUAGUUUAAGUUAAAAUUUAAAAUUAAAGAUAUAUAUAUCAUUUUUAAAUUUCUCUAUUUAAAUUGACAUUUUCCCUUCACCAAUCACAAUACCAGUGUUGGAUAAGGGAACUUUCACUAUAUCCUGUGUUGUAUUUUGUAUGGUAUUUCUGAUCAUUCUUUUAAUAAAAACACAAUCUAUCUAGAAAAGCAAAAAUAAAGACUGAAAUCCACAUUCUUUUAGCACUUUCAUGUGAAUCCUCAAUACUGCAUCUAAUACUACAUAUCUUCUUAAACUGUUCCUCUAAAUCUUAGGGAGAAUGUGAUUGUUACAUCCUAAAGUUUGUGUCAUGAACAUUUGUGGCUCACUUGUAUUCACAAGAUUAUGAGGAAUUAUGCAUUUAGGAGCAGGUUAGGUUAUCAUCAUCAUUGUUUUUUCAUGAUAAGCCAAUGUGUACAGCAUGUUAAUAGUCUUCUCUGUAAGGAAUCUUAGAAAUAAUUGAGUGCACUUCUCUAGUAUUAAAAAUGAGUAAAUGGACAGGCAGAGUGGUGUGCACUUUUAGUCUCAGCUACUCAGGAGGCUGAGACAGGAGAACUGAUUGAGCACAAGAGUUCUGGGCUAUAGUGUGCUAUGUCAAGCGGGUGUCUGCACUGUUUGGCAUUAAUAUGGUAACUUCUUGGGACAGGGAACCACCAGGUUUCCUAAGGAGGGGUGAAACGGUCCAAUCUGGAAAUGGAGCAGGUCAAAAUUCCCAUGCUGAUCUGUAGUGGGAUGGCACCUGUGAAUAGCCACUGCCCUCCAGCCUGGGCAACAUAGCAAGACCCCAUCUGUCUCUAACUUUUAAAAAUGAGUAAACUGAGAACUAGGGUUAAAGAAACUUGCCCAAGGUAGAAAUUUAUUGAAAUAAAAUUAAGGGAAAUGUUUAUAUAGCCCUUAACAUUAUGUCUUCUCCGUGAUAUAUAACACUUUAAAUCCAAGGAUCUCAAAACACUUUUAAAUCAGAUCAUUAAUUCUUCUGAUAUCUAUGUAUCAAAUUAUUCUAUUUUCUACCAGCUGGGUUAUCUCUUGUCAGACACUAAUUUAAAAGUCAACAUUUUCUUUGCAGAUGAAUCAAUUGAGAGUUGCAUUCAUCUGGGAAUAACAAGGGUUCACCUGAAAAACAAGGGUUAUUUUUAUCACAUAUGUCUGAGGUAGUCAGUCCAGGCCUCAUCUGUCCACUGUGUACUUCAUAAUGUCAUCAGGAACAUUAAGCUUUCUGUUUUCUUGUUCAGUCAUUCUCAAUAUGUGCUUGUCAACUCAUAAUUACCUAAUUCACCUCAAGUAUUGUAGAUUUGGUUUGGUAGAAGUAAUAGGAAGGAGAAAAGAAAGCAUACGAGCUGAGCUGGCCUUCCUUAAAAAAGAGAUUUUCUGGCUCAUGCCUGUAACCCCAGCACUUUGGGGAGGCCAAGGCGGUUGGAUUGCCUGAGGUCAGGAGUU